CAGUAGCCACGGGAAUACGUAGGUGGCAAGCGUUGUCCGGAAUUAUUGGGCGUAAAGCGCGCGCAGGUGGUUUAAUAAGUCUGAUGUGAAAGCCCACGGCUCAACCGUGGAGGGUCAUUGGAAACUGUUAAACUUGAGUGCAGGAGAGAAAAGUGGAAUUCCUAGUGUAGCGGUGAAAUGCUUUGAGAUCGGAAAGAACACCAACGGCGAAAGCACUCUGCUGGGCCGACACUGGCACUGAGAGACGAAAGCUAGGGGAGCAAAUGGGAUUAGAUACCCGUGUAGCCCUGUCUCUUAUACA
rnacentral:rRNA from 1 species